GCGGGCUUGGCCGAACGGUUAGGCGCCGGGCUUCCACCCCGUCCACGUGGGUUCGACUCCCACGGUCCGCA
rnacentral:tRNA from 1 species